rfam:Ornithorhynchus anatinus chromosome 7, whole genome shotgun sequence.
CCCCUCUCAGGGUCGCACCUGGAGAGUUUCCAGUCCUUUACCAAUCAUGACUACGGGAGGGAGAGUCAAGCAGAGGAAUACCCAUUCCAUUCCUAGCUUGGGCAGGGGCUAGCGAGUGGAAGGCAAUCUACUACAAGU